GUAGGUGGCAAGCGUUGUCCGGAAUUAUUGGGCGUAAAGCGCGCGCAGGCGGUUCUUUAAGUCUGAUGUGAAAGCCCACGGCUCAACCGUGGAGGGUCAUUGGAAACUGGAGAACUUGAGUACAGAAGAGGAAAGCGGAGUUCCACGUGUAGCGGUGAAAUGCGUAGAGAUGUGGAGGAACACCAGUGGCGAAGGCGGCUUUCUGGUCUGUAACUGACGCUGAGGCGCGAAAGCGUGGGGGAGCAAACAGGAUUAGAUACCCUGGUAGUCCACGCCGUAAACGAUGAGUGCUAAGUGUUAGGGGGUUUCCGCCCCUUAGUGCUGCAGCUAACGCAUUAAGCACUCCGCCUGGGAGUACGGCCGCAAGGCUG
rnacentral:rRNA from 1 species